rnacentral:rRNA from 1 species
CUCGUAGGCGGUUCGUCGCGUCCGGUGUGAAAGUCCAUCGCUUAACGGUGGAUCCGCGCCGGGUACGGGCGGGCUUGAGUGCGGUAGGGGAGACUGGAAUUCCCGGUGUAACGGUGGAAUGUGUAGAUAUCGGGAAGAACACCAAUGGCGAAGGCAGGUCUCUGGGCCGUCACUGACACUGAGGAGCGAAAGCGUGGGGAGCGAACA